ensembl:lncRNA
AUUUGGAACGCUGAGGGAGAGGGUGUACUCCUCUAACCACCACCACCCCCACCUCUCUCUCUCUCUCUCUCUCUCUCUCUCUCUCUCUGGGUGUGUGUGUGUAUCUGUUUCAGGACUACAGCAGUCCAGCUGAGCAGUAGAACCUGCAGGCUCGUUAGUGAACUGCACAGCCCAAUCUCAGGUAGGUGAGCCGUUACGCUACGUGAACUCUUCUGUGCGCUCCCGUCCUGGCUGUGUGUCUGAUUUCAGCUCCGGGAGACGGGAAUAUAUUUCUGCUCCCGUCCUGGCUGUGUGUCUGAUUUCCGCUCCUGGAGACUGGGGUAUAUUUGUGCGCUGAGAGAGGACGGUGUAACCUCUGAGUCGUGAUGGAGGCGUUAGUGAAGGAAGGGUUGCGCUCUCAGCUUUCUCACGCCGCUGCUGCUGAAUAAUAACAGACCUUCUGCUUGUUGGGGGUUACUGAAUCAGCUAGUAAACGUGUUUGUUUUGAUUCUGAAAUAGCGUGGUUAUUAGUGAGAAUUACACAACUUUGUAACUAACACUGGUAAUGUAGCUGUCGUGGAUGUUCAGGGCACGCGGACGAUGAGGACUCUGAGGUUAGGAUGGUCUGGUGAUAAGGAAGUGUGCAGACGUCGACUAGAGGUCAAGAGGAUUGCAGGGCAGGUAAAGGCCAAGAUGCUUUAAAAGGUCAAAUUUGCUCCAGUUCAACAGCAUUUAUAGGGAAUCAUAGUUUACCCACUGAAGUCUCAGUGACGAUGACUCUGAUUCAUCUCUCAGCUGUGAGUAGAAAUGUAUCAUAGGGGUAACACUGAGCACGUCGAGUAGAGCCGGACGAUAUGGACAAGUAUAUUGCGAUAUAUCUUGCAACAUAUUAAAACAACUGGAGAAUCUGUAAUGUCUUUAGGAUGAAUUAACUGUAUUGUUUGGAUAACAACUAGAAUGAUUGAUGAUUAAGUGCCAUAAUUUUGCACAGUAAACUUAUAUGGAAACUUAUCUGACACUGUGGUUAAGCGGGUUCAUUUGCAUAUAGCAUGCUUUGUCAAAAUGAUUAAUGCAGAGGACAGCAUUGCAAUAUUGUGAAGCUCUACUAUAGAUAUAGUUUGUAGGAGUGGAAGCGAGCAUGCUUUACAAAGCCAGAAAGUCAUUUAACUUGUGGGAUAUGAGGCCUACGUGGCAAGCAGAGUAGGGGUUGUUUCCGAGCAGGAGCACAUUUCUAUACUUAGUCACCUAAUAUGAUUGCACUGUGAAUAAUACACACACACAAAUACACAAGUAUUUAUCAUGUGGCCUUUUUACUUUAAUAGUCAUAAGAUGUUGAUAUAGAAGCACAGUGUGCCACAUAUUGACAGUUAUUAUUUUAUAUGUGUG